AGCGAAGCCCAGCAGGUCGGCCAUGUACCGGAAGGUGCUGCUGAGGAGGAUUGACCCCCCAAAAGCCCGGUACAUGGAUUUCCAGAUGGAUGGGGAUUUUUCUGGGUCUUCUGUAUUCUGCUGUCAAAAUUAGAGCAAAGAGGAAUCCUUCAGACGCAGAUAGUUGGUCAAAGCCCUCAUCGCGAUAGGAAGUUUGCCAAUCUUCUUCAGCUCGAUGGGUCUCUUAUGGGCUCCAAUAAUGAGCGGAUUCAUCCACCAAUAUGUUGCCUUGGAGAGGAGGUUGACGAAGGGCUGGAGGAAUCGGACGCCCAAGUCCUGCAAGUCUUCUGGAGGCUUCACCCUCUGGGGGUUUGCAAAGAACACGUACUUCUGCAGCUAGAUUAACUUGGUCAACCAGCUUUGAUGGUAAACAGCAUGGCACCACAAACCAACAUGGAUCAGUAUGGAAAUCUGUGCCACUCCAAGCUGUUUUUUCAGCAGGUUUUAGCAAAGCAAAAUAAAAAUGUUAACCACUGGGGUACAUGUAUCCUUGGUUGGCAUGUGCAAAAUGUUAAGGAUCUUUAAAUCCACUGACUGACUGAUGCUGGGACUUCAUGGGAAGCAGGACCUCCAUUCCAGAGGGACAGAACUCAAAGGUCACAGAUGGAUUGGAGACUGAAGUGUGAUGAGAACUGCUGCAGGGUGAAUGUGUAUGUAUGACUGAGGGAAGUGAGGGUGUGCGAGAGGUUGAAGCAGCGCUGGGUUUGUAUGGGGAUUAUGGAAAAGUGUUUGUGUGUGAGUGUGUGUGCACAAACAGUCACUUCCCCUGUGUCUCCCUAGGGACCAGAAGAGACCCAGCCUCUCCCCCAUUAACCACAGGAAGUAGUAGAGGAUGCAGCCCAUGUGUGAGCCAUCAAAGGCCCUGUGGUGACACCCAGAGCCUGGGACGAGGUGCUGUGACUGGGGACAGAGUGGUGCAGUUGAGGCUGAAGGAUUCUGGAGGCCGGGGGGUCAAACACAACUUCUUUGAGAAAGUUUUAGUUUCCCAUAACUAAGCUGAGAAUCCACACGUAUGCAUGUGGUGUGCGUCAUCAAGUGAGACAUAAAGCCAGAGACAAUUAAGUUAUUCCCCUUGAAUCUGUGAUUAUUUCACUAAAAUCAAUGAUUUAUUUAAAAAAUAUGGAUUGCAAUGUUCCAUCUGUGAUAUUUGUGUUUUAGGAGUAAGUAGUAGAUCUUCUAGCACAAAUUUACUGCACUGACAUGUACUUUAAGCCAGAUGUUGUGUUUUGGAACAUAGAAGCCAAUUUCUAGCUGGUCUAAGCUGGUGUAUACUACUGGUUCAAAUGGCUCAUUAGCUGGUGAAUGCUAGUUGACCAUCUUGGACCCACUAAUUACUUGCUUGAACCAGAUAAUUACCAGCAUGGAUCAGCUUGAUCAGCUAAUGACCAGAAUAUCCCAGCUAAUGACCAGCUAGGACAAGCUUAGGACCAACUUGAACCAGAUAAUUACCAGAUUGAGCCAGCUAAUGACCAAUGUGAACCAACUACUUACCAGCUUGGAAUAGCUAAUUAAGCUUUAACCAAAUAAUAACUAACCUGAACUAGCUAAUUGCCUGCUUGGACAAGCUGAAGAGCAGCUUGAACCAGCUAAUGACCAGCUUGAACCAACUAAUGACCAGCUAGGACAAGCUGAGGGCCAGCUUGAACCAGAUAAUUACCAGACUGAUCCAGCUAAUGACCAACUUGAACCAAAUAAUGACUGGCUUGGAAUAGCUAAUUAAGAUUUAACCAACUAAUAACUACCCUGAACUAGCUAAUUGCCUGCUUGGACAAGCUGAAGAGCAGCAUGGAUCAGCUAAUAACCAGCUUGCCUUGAACCAGCUAAUGACCAACAUGACCCAGCUAAUGACUAGCUUGAACCAACUAAUGACCAUCUAGGACAAGCUGAGGACCAGCUUGAACCAGAUAAUUACCAGAUUGAGCCAUCUAAUAACCAACUUGAACCAACUAAUGACCAGCUUUAGCCAACUAAUAACUAGCUUGAACUAGCUAAUUGUCAGCUUGGACAAGCUGAAGAGCAGCAUGGAUCGGCUAAUGACCAGCUUGAACCAGCGAAUGACCAGCUUGAACCAACUAAUGACCAGCUAGGACAAACUGAGGACCAGCUUGAACCAGAUAAUUACCAGAUUGAGCCAGCUAAUAACCAACUAAUGACCAGCUUGGAAUAGCUAAUUAAGCUUUAACCAACUAAUAAUUAGCCUGAACUAAUUGCCUGCUUGGACAAGCUGAAGAGCAGCAUGGAUCAGCUAUUGACCAGCUUGAACCAGAUAAUUACCAGAUUGAUCCAGCUAAUAGGCUUAUUCGAGAUGCAUAAGCGCAUGACCAAAAAGUACCGUGAGAGCGAUUCAAAAGCAUAAGGAGUCGUUUGCUCUCCAAACGCUUUCGCAGAACUUUGAUGUCAUAUUCCAAUCGGUCUGCGUAGCAUCGAUGCAUUUCGAACAAGCCUAUUGACCAACUUGAACCAACUAAUGACCAGCUUGGACUAGCUAAUUGUCUUCUUGGACAAGCUGAAGAGCAGCAUGGAUCGGCUAAUAAAUAGCUUGAACCAGCUAAUGACCAACUAGGACAAGCUGAGGACUAGCUCAAACCAGAUAAUUACCAGACUGAGCCAGCUAAUGACCAACGUGAACCAACUAAUGACCAGCUUGGAAUAGCUAAUUAAGCUUUAACCAACUAAUAACUAGCCUGAACUAGCUAACUGCCUGUUUGGACAAGCUGAAGAGCAGCAUGGAUCAGCUAAUGACCAGCUUGAACCAACUAAUGACCUGCUAGGACAAGCUAAGGACCAGCUUGAACCAGAUAAUUUACCAGAUUGAGCCAUCUAAUGACCAGCUUGGACUAGCUAAUUGUCAGCUUGGAAAAGCUGAAGAGCAACAUGGAUCGGCUAAUGACCAGCUAGGACAAGCUGAGGACCAGCUUGAACCAGAUAAUUACCAGACUGAGCCAGCUAAUGACCAACUUGAACCAACUAAUGACUGGCUUGGAAUAGCUAAUUAAGAUUUAACCAACUAAUAACUACCCUGAACUAGCUAAUUGCCUGCUUGGACAAGCUGAAGAGCAGCAUGGAUCAGCUAAUAACCAGCUUGCCUUGAACCAGCUAAUGACCAACAUGACCCAGCUAAUGACUAGCUUGAACCAACUAAUGACCAUCUAGGACAAGCUGAGGACCAGCUUGAACCAGAUAAUUACCAGAUUGAGCCAUCUAAUAACCAACUUGAACCAACUAAUGACCAGCUUUAGCCAACUAAUAACUAGCUUGAACUAGCUAAUUGUCAGCUUGGACAAGCUGAAGAGCAGCAUGGAUCGGCUAAUGACCAGCUUGAACCAGCGAAUGACCAGCUUGAACCAACUAAUGACCAGCUAGGACAAACUGAGGACCAGCUUGAACCAGAUAAUUACCAGAUUGAGCCAGCUAAUAACCAACUAAUGACCAGCUUGGAAUAGCUAAUUAAGCUUUAACCAACUAAUAAUUAGCCUGAACUAAUUGCCUGCUUGGACAAGCUGAAGAGCAGCAUGGAUCAGCUAUUGACCAGCUUGAACCAGAUAAUUACCAGAUUGAUCCAGCUAAUAGGCUUAUUCGAGAUGCAUAAGCGCAUGACCAAAAAGUACCGUGAGAGCGAUUCAAAAGCAUAAGGAGUCGUUUGCUCUCCAAACGCUUUCGCAGAACUUUGAUGUCAUAUUCCAAUCGGUCUGCGUAGCAUCGAUGCAUUUCGAACAAGCCUAUUGACCAACUUGAACCAACUAAUGACCAGCUUGGACUAGCUAAUUGUCUUCUUGGACAAGCUGAAGAGCAGCAUGGAUCGGCUAAUAAAUAGCUUGAACCAGCUAAUGACCAACUAGGACAAGCUGAGGACUAGCUCAAACCAGAUAAUUACCAGACUGAGCCAGCUAAUGACCAACGUGAACCAACUAAUGACCAGCUUGGAAUAGCUAAUUAAGCUUUAACCAACUAAUAACUAGCCUGAACUAGCUAACUGCCUGUUUGGACAAGCUGAAGAGCAGCAUGGAUCAGCUAAUGACCAGCUUGAACCAACUAAUGACCUGCUAGGACAAGCUAAGGACCAGCUUGAACCAGAUAAUUUACCAGAUUGAGCCAUCUAAUGACCAGCUUGGACUAGCUAAUUGUCAGCUUGGAAAAGCUGAAGAGCAACAUGGAUCGGCUAAUGACCAGCUAGGACAAGCUGAGGACCAGCUUGAACCAGAUAAUUACCAGACUGAGCCAGCUAAUGACCAACUUGAACCAACUAAUGACCGGCUUGGAAUAGCUAAUUAAGAUUUAACCAACUAAUAACUACCCUGAACUAGCUAAUUGCCUGCUUGGACAAGCUGAAGAGCAGCAUGGAUCAGCUAAUAACCAGCUUGCUUUGAACCAGCUAAUGACCAACAUGACCCAGCUAAUGACUAGCUUGAACCAACUAAUGACCAUCUAGGACAAGCUGAGGACCAGCUUGAACCAGAUAAUUACCAGAUUGAGCCAUCUAAUAACCAACUUGAACCAACUAAUGACCAGCUUUAGCCAACUAAUAACUAGCUUGAACUAGCUAAUUGUCAGCUUGGACAAGCUGAAGAGCAGCAUGGAUCGGCUAAUGACCAGCUUGAACCAGCGAAUGACCAGCUUGAACCAACUAAUGACCAGCUAGGACAAACCGAGGACCAGCUUGAACCAGAUAAUUACCAGAUUGAGCCAGCUAAUAACCAACUAAUGACCAGCUUGGAAUAGCUAAUUAAGCUUUAACCAACUAAUAAUUAGCCUGAACUAAUUGCCUGCUUGGACAAGCUGAAGAGCAGCAUGGAUCAGCUAUUGACCAGCUUGAACCAGAUAAUUACCAGAUUGAUCCAGCUAAUAGGCUUAUUCGAGAUGCAUCAGCGCAUGACACAAAAGUACUGUGAGAACGAUUCAAAAGCAUAAGGAGUCGUUUGCUCUCCAAUCGCUUUCGCAGAACUUUGAUGUCAUAUGCCAAUCGGUCUGCGCAGCGCCGAUGCAUUUCGAACAAGCCUAUUGACCAACUUGAACCAACUAAUGAUCAGCUUGGACUAGCUAAUUGUCUUCUUGGACAAGCUGAAGAGCCGCAUGGAUCGGUUAAUAACCAGCUUGAACCAGCGAAUGACUAGCAUGACCCAGCUAAUGACCAACUAGGACAAGCUGAGGACCAGCUCAAACCAGAUAAUUACCACUGAGCCAGCUAAUGACCAACGUGAACUAACUAAUGAUCAGCUUGGAAUAGCUAAUUAAGCAUUAACCAACUAAUAACUAGCCUGAACUAGCUAACUGCCUGCUUGGACAAGCUGAAGAGCAGCAUGGAUCAGCUAAUGACCAGCUUGAUCCAACUAAUGACCUGCUAGGACAAGUUAAGGACCAGCUUGAACCAGAUAAUUUACCAGAUUGAGCCAUCUAAUGACCAGCUUGGACUAGCUAAUUGUCAGCUUGGAAAAGCCGAAGAGCAACAUGGAUCGGCUAAUGACCGGCUUGAACCAGGAAAUGACCAGCUAGGACAAGCUGAGGACCAGCUUGAACCAGAUAAUUACCAAAUUGAGCCAUCUAAUGACCAACUUAAACCGACAAUGGCCAGCUUGGAAUAGCUAAUUAAGCUUUAAUCAACUAAUAACUAGCUUGAACUAGCUAAUGACGAGUUUAAGCCUGCUAGAAACCAGCUUCAUAUGUUCCAAAACAGCUAUCAGCAUAAGACGGAUUUUCAAACAGGCUUGACAUUUUCAAAAUUUUUCAAAAACAUUGCUAACCACAUUUGGUGAAUCAUAACCUCAGUGCUGACGUUGAUUCUGGGACUGGGAAACUGGGAGACCUUUAUGAGAGGGACAUUCAUGGGAAAUUAAGCUUUAUCUUUUUAUGCCUAAACUAAAUAAAUGGAAAAUGAUGUCUUUCCUUGAGAUGCUUGUGAAAUCAAAGAAAGAAAUGAGGCUUUACUUGAGCUCUAAUGUAACGCUUGAGCUGACUCAGUGUUGUCACUUGGCUCAGUGUGCUGGGUUCAUUGAGGUGGUUAGCAAAGGACAGGAAGCCUUCUACACGUCCCAAGCAUCAUGCAUAUUUAUAAACUCAAUAAUCAACAUAAAUACAGAGAGACAGAUGAAGGGGGAAGCUGAGAUAGUAACAAGUGAAAGAGUGGGAACAUGAAACUGCACACGUACCUCCAUUAAAUAAACAGUCUCUAUGUCUCUCUGUGUAAACUGUGUUCCAUUAAGGUAAUUUCACAUUAACAGCCCUAUACAAUAAACAGACCCAGACUGCAAUGCUAGUUCAAACCAUGAUUUAACACUUGCACUUGGUAACAUAGAUCUUACUUUCCUCUACUGUGUACAUGUUAGCAUGGGUGCCGAAUGCUAGCAUUUCCCUCAAACUGGUCAUUUUGGAUAUCUGGUUCAUGUGGUAAAUUUGUGCAUUACAGGACACGUGAGACAGAAUGGUGAAAAAGAGAGGGAAAGUCUUUAGAAAAAAAAAGUCUAAAAAAAAAAAAGACCGAUUUGUUUGUUUGUAUCUAGAUGUUAAAUACUUUAAAACCAGCAACUAGUCCACUCAGGUGCACCUAUGCUAACCUAUAUUAGCGCAGCUCAAGUGUUUCAUGUCACUAUAUGGGACAUUUUUUGGUUUGUUAUAAUUAGUGCUUAAGGUUUGGAUUGUAGAACUAGCUUAUUGUCCUACAAAAUGACAUUAAUGGUUAUAGAUCUCUUUGUUCCUUUGAUUAGCAUUCAUAACAUUUUAAAAUGACAAUAUGCUGUCACCUAGUGGUUUGACUCUCAAACUACACUUAAGUUGCAAACAAUAUAUUUCAGGCAAAAAUCGUUUUCUAUGUGCUUUUAAUUUUUAUUUCAGUUCUAGAUUUAGUAAUUGUACUACCUCAACUUAAACAACUUGACAACUAACUAAAAUACGUUUAAGUUUUUCAUAUAAUAAUUAUAUUUUAUUUAAGAUUUAUUUCAAUUUUAAGUGAUUUUAUUUUUUAGUUUAGUAAACAAAAACACUAAUUCCAAACCGUUCUCUGCUUACUCAAUUAUGGGUUCAUAGUAAACAAGCACUGCUAGAGUGAUGGAUACACCAAGGUUGCUUUUAAUUAGCAGUGAGACAAAAAGUAAAUUUCAAAAAGUGCAAUUAUUUGCUCACAUUUCCUCACAAAAAACAAUGUUCUUGUUAGCUGGUUAUUCAGUGUUCCAUAGCGAAAGCAAUUUGUUAUCCUGGGGACAGUAGCACAACCCCAUUAUAAUUUCUUUUUUUUUUUUUUUUUUUUUUACAUUUUCUGAAGGUUAUCUGGAAGAGCAUUGCCCAAUUACAAUUUCGGAACUUCCUAUUGCAUUUUUCUGCUCUGUGAAGCCUAUUAUUUGAUACCAACCAGCUGUAAAACCACAGAAAUGAAUAAAUUUGAUGUAAUCACAUACUGAUCCAAUAGAUUAUCGAAUCAGGUUUUAAUCAUUAGAACAAACAAAGAGCUUCCUGUUAUUUGUGUGUUUGUGUGUGUAAGCAACACUCCAGGCAAUUAAUCAAUCAAAGCAGAAUUUUUGAAUGCCAAGAAUGGAUCUGGCUCUUGAAAGAGCUGCAAAGAAAUUAUUUAAAUAAUUGUCUUUUGAACAUUUGCAUUGUUUGCAUUGGGAAUAAUCUGGGAAUCUGAUCAACCACAUUGGACACUCUGGCACAAUGUCUUUCUUCAAAGAGCUGCUCUCAGGCUUCAUUAGUGGCUUCAUUAGUGUUCUCACAUCUCUGAGCACUUGUAAUCAGGUUGAUGAUGAGAACUGGGUAUUUCACGGCUCAAGUUGCCAACUGAAAGAAUUAUCGAUAGUCAGUGUUGGGGGUAACGCAUUACAAGUAACUUGAGUUACGUAAUCAGAUUACUUUUUUUCAAGUAACUAGUAAAGUAAUGCAUUACUUUUAAAUUUACAAGAAAAUAUCUGAGUUACUCAUUUAUUGAUUGACAGCUCUAGUGUCCCCAUGUUGAAAGAAAUUGUGAGUAAGUGUAGAGGCGUUGUGUGGAAAGAUGACGGUUUUUCUAGACUAAAUGUGAACGUUUACUCAUCUCACUUGCACAAAAACAGAGUCAGUAUUCCUUAAAAUGAAUAAAAACUGUGAAAUGCAAACUCAGAAUAUUACAAAAACCUCCAAUAAUAUGUAAAUUAAACAAAUAGGCCAUAUUUUGUUUUUAAUCUCAAAAUUAACCAAUUUUGCUGCUGACAUUCAAUGAUCAAAUUCAACCAUACUAAUAAGCAAAUAUGACUUUAGAUAAACAUUACAUUUGUGAUCAGCCUGAAGCUUAUUUAUUUCAUUUUUGGUAUGA